rnacentral:misc_RNA from 1 species
GUGAACGCCCUCACGGGCUUAUACUAUUCCAAACCUCUGUGAACCGUGCCCCUCGGGGCUAUUUUACAAACAUGGUGUAAUGAACGUCAUAUAUCAUAACAAAACA